AUGCUCGCCGGCCGUGAGCCCCACAAAGUGAAGCUGUGGGAGGCCAGCAGCGGGCUUCGUAGGCUGUGGGACGUGUUGGUGGUGUUCAACAGCGAAGGCCACAUGUACAUAGGGCCCAGCUGGGAUCAUUUCACCCGCCCCCAUGAGCUACAGCUCGAGCACUUCCUUGUCUUCCGCUACGACGGCGACGCCAUGUUCACCGUGAAGAUGUUCGACAACACCAUGUGCCGCAUGUACUACCAGCGCGACGACGAUGCUAGCAAUGGGAGCAGCAGCGGGGAUUACGAGGAGCAGAGAGGGGAUGACGAGGAGUAG
rnacentral:rRNA from 1 species